rnacentral:rRNA from 1 species
UGGGGAAUUUUGGACAAUGGGCGAAAGCCUGAUCCAGCAAUGCCGCGUGUGUGAAGAAGGCCUUCGGGUUGUAAAGCACUUUUGUCCGGAAAGAAAUCCUUGGCUCUAAUACAGUCGGGGGAUGACGGUACCGGAAGAAUAAGCACCGGCUAACUACGUGCCAGCAGCCGCGGUAAUACGUAGGGUGCAAGCGUUAAUCGGAAUUACUGGGCGUAAAGCGUGCGCAGGCGGUUUGCUAAGACCGAUGUGAAAUCCCCGGGCUCAACCUGGGAGCUGCAUUGGUGACUGGCAGGCUAGAGUAUGGCAGAGGGGGGUUAGAAUUCCACGUGUAGCAGUGAAAUGCGUAGAGAUGUGGAGGAAUACCGAUGGCGAAGGCAGCCCCCUGGGCCAAUACUGACGCUCAUGCACGAAAAGCGUGGGGAGCAAACAGGAUUAGAUACCCUGGUAGUCCACGCCCUAAAACGAUGUCAACUAGGUUGUUGGGGGACUUUCAUUUUCCUUAGUAACGUAGCUAACGCGUGAAGUUGACCGCCUGGGGAGUACGGUCGCAAGAUUAAAACUCAAAUGAAUUGACGGGGUCAUAGCUGUUUCCU